CCCUUUGCCUCUCAUUUUUAUCGAAAAACCCGUAGGAAGAACUUAAAACUUAUUAUUUUCUAAUUACCAUCGCCCAUCUCUCUCAAACAACCCUUCUCUCACUAGGAAGAUAUCCUCCUUUCACGAUUUUUUCUUAGAAAAAUUGGGGAUCUGGGUUUCAUGUUUUUCUUCGAUCCUUGUCUCACGAUCACUCACAGUUUCGCUCUGAAAAAUUUCAACUUUGAUCUCGUGUGCAGAAUCAAGCUCUCUCUCUCUCUCUUUAUUGGAUAACCAGAUGAAUUGUUUCCCAUCUCUAUAUAUCUCGAUUCAUCUCUAAGGAAAAAUUAUGGUCCUUUGUUGCUUGAUUGAGUUGAUGCUGGACGUAAAGAUUCUAAAGCAUAUGAUGUUUCGAGGAUUCAAGCUUAUCAUUCACCGGGUGGAGGACCUUUGUACUGGAUUCCUCAUAGUUUGGUAAAAAAUUCUUUGCUUAUGCUACUUUCGUUUGAUUUUAUGACAACAAAAUAUCUGGUUCAGUCCCCGGUUCAACUCUUGUUUUCCCUCCUUUAUUCGAAACAAUUGACAUCGCCUAAUAUUUGAUUUCCUAUAAGUUUUUCAUUUUAUAUUGAGAUUUUCCUUUUCCUAUUUUUAUAAAAUAUUCUGUUCACUCUUUCAGUAGUUCUAGCGCCUCUUUUGAUUAGGCACUCAGUUUGGUAUUGGAUUUGUUGGUUCUUACUACACGGCUCUAUUCAUUAUAGAAUUCGGAAUUCACUUAAGAAGCUUUUGAGCAUGAAAGUGCCGAGCAGAGAAAGGAACUUGCAUAUCAACUUGUUGGCCACUUUUUUCCUUCAAGUCUUCAGAUGUAUGGAUGUCGUGUAAUCCAAAAGAAAUGUGUGACUGUGUUCCAACAGAGGAAACUGGAUUCGUAAUUUCUGCAUUUCGUAAACAAGGUGCAGCACCAUCUACAUAUCCCUACGGUUGACGAGUUAUUCAGGGACUUAGUUUUACUCUAGAAAUGCAAUUGAAGGCGAUAAAAAACUUUUCCAGACUCUUGCUCGUGUGAUUUUUCUAAAUCCUGAUUUGUUACUUGUUGAGAAGCUUACGGUAUGUGCUCUUUAUAAAGAUAUUGAUCAGGCUGUUACUUCCCAUUGUGGUUUGUUAAUACGAAAUCUAAUUUAGGUCGGCAGCGUAUUACCACGAGGAAACUUUUAACAGUUCAAUCGGUGUAUGAAUUAGAUUGAUAAGAGUGCAAAAUUCACUUAAAGGUUUGUGGCCUCUUCAACUUUUGUUGUUAUAACAUUUGUUUUUUACAUCGGUGCGGUUACGAUGUGGUCGUGCCACAUCAUUCAAGUAUGUGGCCCAUCUUUAAAUAGUGACACAUAGUUUUUUUGUUCUCCAAAACAGCUUAUUACCUAACUUUUUGUCUUAACUUCCUACUUUUUCUCAAAAAGGUAAAGCAAUUACGGAUAUUUAGAGGGGGCAGGUUUUGAAUAUGAGUACGUGUCAAAAUAUGAAGAGGGGCCACGUACAAAAUAUAUGUGGCCCGAACACAUCAUAAUCCGAGCGUUUUUACAUAGUAAGUACCAGCCUGAAAAACACCAGAAAACAUACAUCUAGGCUAUCUAGCCCAGUGGUUACUUCUGACUUAAGACUUCAGUAUGCUAUAUUGUUAUAUAUGCUAUUUACCUUGCUCUUAUCAGCACUGUUUUUUCCAAUUGAAAACUAAAGUCAUGUAGAUCGGAAAUCAACAAAAUUGGAAUAUGUAUGGGCUAAUUAAAAUUUCAAGCCAUUUAACUACAAUUUGGAAUCAUAAAUGGGUUAUUCAAAAUUUUGAACUGUGAGCUUACAUUCUGGGAUAUGAAGUAUUAGAGAUGUCAUGUGAGAUAGUUUUAAGAGAGAUAGGGGUGGUUCAGUUAGAAUAUGUGGUGAGAUGUUUGGGAAAUCUAGGAGUCUGAGUAUUAGUAAUUUUAAGUUUUUAAAUUCUUGCUUACUGCUAACGUUUUCUUCUGGCACUGUUUAAUGCUAUUCGUUAUUGUAUUAAUAAAAGAGCUUGUGUGUUGUUGCUUUAAAAAUGUAAUUUUGGGUAAUUAUCUUGUAUUCAUUUUUCGGAGGAAGUUCGAGUGCUAUGAAGAAGAGACCAUGGAUAAUAAACCAAGUCAAAGUGUUGGUGACAUGAUUGUGUUUGUCCAAAUUUCGGUUCAAUCAUUGGUGCAUGAAGUUGCAGGUGUGUUGGUCCAUCUUUGGGUAUCAAAACAUGAAGAAAGUAGAUUCCGAUGAACUUUACGAAAAAUGGAUAUCCUUUCCUAUUUCUUUGUCAAUUUCUUUUAGCCAGCACUAAGAAUACUUUCCUGUUAAGUAUAUUGAAAUAUGUAAACUACAUCUUACAUUAACUUGUAAUCAACUUAUUUAUUCGGAAUUUUUAGUUCC